GGAGACCGUCAGACUGAAAAUCUGAAGUCCCUGUGUUCGAUUCACAG
rnacentral:tRNA from 14 species